CUUGUACUCCCUUCGUCCGAAAAUACUUGUCAUUAAAAUGGAUGUAUCUAGAUGUAUUUUAGUUCUAGACACAUCCAUUUUGAUGACAACUAAUUCCGGAUGGAGGGAGUACUUG
rnacentral:pre_miRNA from 1 species